rnacentral:rRNA from 1 species
UACGUAGGGGGCAAGCGUUGUCCGGAUUUAUUGGGCGUAAAGAGCGUGUAGGCGGCUUUACAGGUCCGUUGUGAAAACUCGAGGCUCAACCUCGGGCCUGCAGUGGGUACGGGCAGACUGGAGUGCGGUAGGGGAGAAUGGAAUUCCUGGUGUAGCGGUGGAAUGCGCAGAUAUCAGGAGGAACACCGAUGGCGAAGGCAGUUCUCUGGGCCGUAACUGACGCUGAGGAGCGAAAGCGUGGGGAGCGAACAGG